rnacentral:rRNA from 1 species
UACGGAGGAUGCGAGCGUUAUCCGGAUUUAUUGGGUUUAAAGGGUGCGUAGGCGGCGAAUUAAGUCAGCGGUAAAAUUUCUGGGCUCAACCCAGUCGUGCCGUUGAAACUGGUUUGCUUGAGUACGGAUGAAGUAGGCGGAAUUUGUAGUGUAGCGGUGAAAUGCAUAGAUAUUACAAGGAACUCCAAUUGCGCAGGCAGCUUACUAAACCGUAACUGACGCUGAUGCACGAAAGUGUGGGUAUCAAACA